GAAACUGUGGGUAAUACCGGAUGAUAUCUGACUUUUGCAAAAGAGUUGGAUCAAAGGUGUGAUUCCGCCCUGGGAGGGGACUGCGUCCUACUAGCUUGUUGGUGGGGUAACGGCCUACCAAGGCUUUGAUGGGUAGCGGGCGUGAGAGCGUGGCCCGUCUCACUGGGACUGAGACACUGCCCAGACACCUACGGGUGGCUGCAGUCGAGAAUCUUCGGCAAUGGGCGAAAGCCUGACCGAGCGACGCCGCGUGCGGGAUGAAGGCCUUCGGGUUGUAAACCGCUGUCAGUUGGGAGGAAAUCUAUAGGAGUUCUCUCCUAUAGUUGACCUAUCUUCAGAGGAAGACCGGGCUAAGUUCGUGCCAGCAGCCGCGGUAAGACGAACCGGUCGAACGUUAUUCGGAAUCAUUGGGCUUAAAGGGUGCGUAGGCGGUGCGGAAAGUUGGGUGUGAAAUCCCUCGGCUCAACCGAGGAACUGCGCCCAAAACUUCCGUGCUA
rnacentral:rRNA from 1 species